CGCCGCCCCUUCCCGCUGCCCUGGAAGCAGAUCCGGCCCGGAGUGCGGUCGGGGCCGCGGUGACUCGGCGUCCCGAGGCACAUUUUCCUCCCUCCAGGAGGAAGGCGGGUGUGGCGCCCGGGGUGCAUGAGGCUGCGCUGGCCACUCUCGGGAACGGGUUGGGGGCCCUUUUUUGUUUUCUUUUUUUUUAAAGCCUUUAAGAGGAAGCUGCCCUUGAUUUUUCUCUCUUCUGCUUUGAGCUUUGGGGAGGACUUGCUGGUGGCCCCUGGGUUACUUCAGUGUGGAGUCAGCCGCAGCACUGUGUGCCCCACGGAGGAGGAUGAGAGGUGGAGACAGGUAAGUAACACCAGCCACCUGUUACCUGCGUUCAGGCCUGCUGGCCGCUGCCUGAAUCGUGGCCGCGAAGUGAGGGCAAAGAAAGAGCAAAAAGACCACCCUGCGGACAAGAAGGACACUGGAAAAGGAAUGCCCUGCGAAGGGGCCUCCUCAAAAAUCAUGCUAGUGUGACUGCUAAAAGAUGGACUGUUCCGGGAGCUAGAGGAUCUCCAGACAAGAACCUACCCACACGAUGGCUUCGAACUGAAGGGGCCCUAUGUUCCAGUUAGCUCCUCCUAAGAACAUCAAAAUUGAAUUGACAGAGCCUUGGGUGACCCUUAAUGUGACAGAUCCUGAACCCUGAACCACGCGGGACAUGGGGGAACUCAUACACAGUAGCGGACGAGUAUCCUCAGCAAUCCCACUUCACUCUACCCUUAGGCUGCAGCCUUGGGAAUCUCACUUUUAAUUAUGCCUUUCUUAUAGACCGGGAUGCUUCAUUCCCUUAUUAGGGAGGGGCAUCUUGUCUAGUAUAAGCUUCUGGGUAAUUAAAACUGUAAACAAGGCUAAGGUAAUUGAAGGAAAUUUUGUUAAAGUGAGUCUUUUAAAAUAUUAUAUAUCCUCCUUCUGGAGGUCCAGGAGCUGCUGCGGCCCUGAGAACAAUGGGGAAUUAAUACCACCCCCAAACCCUGUGCAGGCUGGGGAAGCAGCAGAGGCAACUUUUUCUCCCCAUCUCAAUGUGAAAGGGAAAAGGGUACUUUAAAACCGAAGCCACUGAAAUACCCAAGCCAGAUAUUUCCCCUUGUCUCUUCUCCAGCCUCCUAAAAGUGGUCAAAGACACCAAAGGAAUGAUUCAUGUUAUCUCUGUUAUGCCUCUUAAAAACGUGAGUGUAUUUGCCAAUUAAAAAAAUGAUUUCUGAAAGUUAUUAAAUGUAUUGCUUUUAGUUGUCACUAAAAAUUAAGGUUUCUAAGAAUUAAGAAUUCUAAUUAAGUUGGGUGAAAAAGAAUGUGGUAUUGGUAAUAUAGAAUUGAAAGUGGUUUCUUUUAGCUAUAGCCGGUUUGGCUCAGUGAUAGAGCAUCAGCUUGCGGAUUAAAAGGUCCUGGGUUCGAUUCCAGUCAAGGGCAGAUGUUUGGGUUGUGGGUUCGAUUCCCAGUGGGGAGAGAGCAGAAG